GAGUACGAAAAUGAAAUAAACUUCCCAAUUCUGCACAACCCAGUCCAGUGCGUGUCUCCUCCGGCCUCAAAACCUCUCUCCGCCGUUGAAAACUCACCUCCGCCAUGGAUAUCCUACACUCAGCCACUCAAUUCCCCACAAUACCCUUCCUCCACCCUCACCGUCCAUCCGCAUCCGUUCGCCACCUCCGUCGAUGCCUCGGCUUCACUGUCAGGUCGAGCCUACCGUUUUCUGAUCAAAAUGCAAAGUACCACAGAGAGCUCCGAGCAGCCGUGGAUGCUGUCGAGCGAGCUUGUCGUCUCUGUGUCGACGUGAAGCAGUCUUUGUUCUCCAGUGAUGGAAGGAUUCUCGAAAAGAAUGACCAAACUCCAGUCACUGUGGCAGAUUUUGGGGUUCAGGCUCUCAUCAGUUUGGAGGUGGGCAAAUUUUUUCCUUCUAUUCCAAUGGUGGCUGAAGAGGAUUCAGCAUUCUUGCGUUCAAGCAAUCUGGUAAAUUCUGUUGUAGAUGAGGUUACUGAUAAGGCAAGUUUCGGGGAUAAACAAUUGAUGGAAGCUGAUGUGUUGGAAGCCAUUGAUAGAGGGGGAAAGGAUGCCUUUUCAUUCGGACGUAAGCCUGCCACUUAUUGGGUUCUUGAUCCAAUUGAUGGCACACGAGGGUUUGUCAGAGGGAGGGAUGCCUUGUAUGUGGUCGGUUUGGCCCUUGUAGUUGAAGGAGAGGUGGUAUUAGGAGUUAUGGGAUGUCCUAAUUGGCAGAAAGAUAAACCCAGCAACUCUGUGACAGAAACCCUAAACUCUCCAAAAACUUUGUCAGGAAUCAUUAUGGUUGGGCAUGUUGGCUGUGGAACAUGGACAAAACAGUUAUCUUUCAUGCUGAGUAGCACCACCGAGAUUUCUAACAGUUGGACCAGAUGCUCUGUUGAUAGGUGUUGGUUGGUUCAUGAGGCACGCUUUUGUAGUUCAGAUAGUCAAACAUGGGAGUCAUUGCCGUUAUCCACUUUCUUUGAUGCAACUACCGAUGCUGAGAAUAUUAAUGAUAAACAGAUUCUCCUUCUGUCUGCAUGUUGUGGAAGUUUGUGCAAGUACUUGAUGGUGGCCUCUGGCUGGGCAUCUGUUUUCAUUCUUCGAGCGCGGGCUCAAACAAUUAUAAAGGUAUGGGAUCAUGCUGCUGGGAUGAUAUGUGUUCAUGAAGCAGGUGGAAAGGUGACUGACUGGAGAGGGAAUGAACUUGAUCUCUCAGUAGAUCAAGUGGAGCGGAGGUUCAUAUGUCCUACCGGUGGCGUGCUUGUGACAAACAGCAGCUUACAUACCAAUCUACUAGAGUUGAUCUCAUCUGGUUAAUUGGUGCAUCGGUAUAUUGUACUUUCAGUUUUUGAAUUGCCCUUGGGCAUUAAGCCAACGGAUCAAAAACGAAACCCAACUGCUGCAUCUUCGCCAUCUUCAAGGCACGUGUCCAACGCAUACACUUAGAGGAUCUUAGUUUAUUGGAAAGUUCUCGACUCCCAAAACAAACCAGUGUAUACCGGGGAUGACGGUGUAGGUGAGUUGUUGCUGGCAAAUCGUUCGAUUGUAUCUGUCGAGAAAAUUAUUUAUGAAGAAAUUGGGUUGAUUGAAGAGUUAUAAUUAUAUGGUAAAGUAAGACGGAUGAAGCCAAACGUAUGAUCUUAAGUAAUAGACCAUCAAACGUACACCCGAAAUUGUAUCACUCUUUCUUGUCUUGUAAGAUGAAUGGUUCUGAUUACCGAGAUGAAUUCAUUGUAGUCCCACAAGCCACGACAAAUCAACUAUAUAGACCAUACAAUCCCGGUACUUUAAUUAGUUGUGUUUCAACUCAAAGCUUCAAGGGUAAAAUUGAAAGUUUGCCCUUUCGUGCAUGGUUGCCAAUUUUGAAAAGAAA